AUACCCUAUUAUUGUAAAUUAAUUUUUGGUAGUAUGAAAUUUAAAAACCUUUGUAGUUUGGCGGCAUUUAAUCAGAUUAGAGGAACCUGUAUAUUAAUCGAUAAUCCACGAUAAUUUUUACUUUAAUUUAAAUUUUAUAUACCUCCAUCUUAAGGAUUAAUAUAAAUAUCUCCCCUUAAUAGUUUUCUAACAAGUUAGGUAAAGGUGUAGACAAUAUUAAAGUUUACAUGGGUUACUUUAAAACUUAUUUAAGGAUAUAUUAAAUAAAUUUUUUAUUUAAAUGGAUUUAUUAGUACUAAAAAAAUAAUAUUUUUUUACGAACUUGAUAAACAAUGUGUACACAUC
rnacentral:rRNA from 1 species